AGGGCCAGAGCAAAGGAGUUUUCUUCACUAAUCGUUGGAAUUCCUUGUCCAGCCCUGACUUGGGAGCACUUUCUCUAGAAGCAGAAGACAAAUGAGGGACCUGCGCUCCCGCCUUGGAACUCCACGUGAACUCCCCCUCGUGGGCCGGGGUCAAACUCUGGGCAGUGGAUUGGCUCAUUAAACAAAUGACCUAAUUUAGUACUUAAGACACCCAAAAUUUACUAGACUAAUUUGUCAAGUCAUCCAGAACAACCAAACCACAGACGACCUUCAGAACAACCAGAGAGGACUUGGACAGACGCUUUCCGUUUCGCUGUUCCCAGAAGGACAAUGGAAGUGGUUACUAAUGCCCGUAUUCUUGGGGACACUUUCACCCCUUACAUCCUCCGGACAGCUGUCUAUUUACACGGUUGGCCCAAUGGGAAGACUGACCUUAUUUCCACUCUCCUCCUGAGAGUGACAAUGCAGCCCCACGAACUAGGGACGCUGUGAUCGGAUGAGAGAUGGACUUCAGCUUCUGUGGUGACCCCCGGAAGAGGAAGCAACUAGAC